rnacentral:RNase_MRP_RNA from 2 species
UUCUCGCUCAAAAAAUUGCAUUCGAAGCUUACUACCAAAAGCAUGCAGGAGAAGGAUGGAUUUUAUUCAUUCCUUCUUUUGCAUGCUUUUUAUAUGCUUUGGGGAAAGGUAGUUGCAUUGUUUGACGGUUUAAUUCAGCAGGCUAACAUGAAUAUAGUCUCCGGUCAAUCGGGUUGUCUCAAUGAGAUAAAAAGUGGAAACGCACGGACUUAAAACUCCGGUCGUAAUUCGAAUCUAACGUUUUCCAGGCCGUCGCAACGGCUCACGAUACUUUGGCUCGCCCAGAGCAGAGGUGUUGCGGCAUAUACGGCUGUUUGGCAAAACCGUCUGGAUGUUCGUUGCCCCGCCAAAUGCAGUCCUUCGGGUCUGCGUUUGUUCGACGCUGUUGAAUUCGCCUUUGUCGUGCAGCCACGGGUUGGUAAUUCCCGGUUUCACUGCGUGGCGAAGCCGGGGGGUAUCACAUUCGUUUGGUAAUCAUAGUUAUGCAAUUCAAAUCGACGUUUGUCUUCGUUUCUCGGAGGCAUCAUGUCGGUUAGAACCCAAUGGAGCUUAUUCUUGAAGUGAGG